GCAUAACGCGAAGAACCUUACCUACCCUUGACAUGUCUGGAAUCCUUUAGAGAUAGAGGAGUGCUCGCAAGAGAACCGGAACACAGGUGCUGCAUGGCUGUCGUCAGCUCGUGUCGUGAGAUGUUGGGUUAAGUCCCGCAACGAGCGCAACCCUUGUCAUUAGUUGCUACGAAAGGGCACUCUAAUGAGACUGCCGGUGACAAACCGGAGGAAGGUGGGGAUGACGUCAAGUCCUCAUGGCCCUUAUGGGUAGGGCUUCACACGUCAUACAAUGGUCGGGACAGAGGGUCGCCAACCCGCGAGGGGGAGCCAAUCCCAGAAACCCGAUCGUAGUCCGGAUUGCAGGCUGCAACUCGCCUGCAUGAAGUCGGAAUCGCUAGUAAUCGCGGAUCAGCAUGUCGCGGUGAAUACGUUCCCGGGUCUUGUACACACCG
rnacentral:rRNA from 1 species